rnacentral:rRNA from 1 species
GACAGAGGCCUCGAGCGUUAGGCGGAAUCACUGGGCUUAAAGCGUGUGUAGGCGGGCCCGUAAGUGUCUUGUGAAAUCCCACGGCUCAACCGUGGAACUGCUGGGCAUACUGCGGGUCUUGGGCCAACUAGGGGCAGCCGGAACAAGCGGUGGAGCGGUGAGAUGCGUAGAUAUCGCUUGGAACGCCGAAGGUGAAAACAGGCUGCUGGGGUUGCGCCGACGCUGAGACACGAAAGCCAGGGGAGCAAACGGG